GUCAGGAUGAACGCUAGCUACAGGCUUAACACAUGCAAGUCGAGGGGCAGCAUUGGGAUAGCUUGCUAUUCAGAUGGCGACCGGCGCACGGGUGAGUAACGCGUAUCCAACCUUCCUGCCAGUAGGGAACAGCCCGGCGAAAGUCGGAUUAAUGCCCUAUGUUCUUCAAUGCGGACAUCUAAGUUGAAGGAAAGAUUCAUCGCUGGCAGAUGGGGAUGCGUCCGAUUAGCUUGCCGGCGGGGUAACGGCCCACCGGGGCGACGAUCGGUAGGGGUUCUGAGAGGAAGGUCCCCCACACUGGUACUGAGACACGGACCAGACUCCUACGGGAGGCAGCAGUGAGGAAUAUUGGUCAAUGGGCGUAAGCCUGAACCAGCCAAGUAGCGUGCAAGGAUGACGGCCCUACGGGUUGUAAACUGCUUUUAUGCGGGGAUAAAGUGCGGCACGUGUGCCGCUUUGCAGGUACCGCAUGAAUAAGGACCGGCUAAUUCCGUGCCAGCCGCUGC
rnacentral:rRNA from 1 species